rnacentral:rRNA from 1 species
UACGGGGGGGGCAAGCGUUGUUCGGAAUUACUGGGCGUAAAGGGCUCGUAGGCGGCCAACUAAGUCGGAUGUGAAAUCCCCAGGCUUAACCUGGGAACUGCAUCCGAUACUGGAUGGCUUGAAUCCGGGAGAGGGAUGCGGAAUUCCAGGUGUAGCGGUGAAAUGCUUAGAUAUGACAUAGAACACCAAUUGCGAAGGCAGCUCACUACACGAGCAUUGACUCUGAGGCACGAAAGCGUGGGGAUCAAACAGG